rnacentral:rRNA from 1 species
GCUCUCGGGUGACGAGUGGCGGACGGGUGAGUAAUGUCUGGGAAACUGCCUGAUGGAGGGGGAUAACUACUGGAAACGGUAGCUAAUACCGCAUAACGUCGCAAGACCAAAGAGGGGGACCUUCGGGCCUCUUGCCAUCAGAUGUGCCCAGAUGGGAUUAGCUAGUAGGUGGGGUAACGGCUCACCUAGGCGACGAUCCCUAGCUGGUCUGAGAGGAUGACCAGCCACACUGGAACUGAGACACGGUCCAGACUCCUACGGGAGGCAGCAGUGGGGAAUAUUGCACAAUGGGCGCAAGCCUGAUGCAGCCAUGCCGCGUGUAUGAAGAAGGCCUUCGGGUUGUAAAGUACUUUCAGCGGGGAGGAAGGUGUUGUGGUUAAUAACCGCAGCAAUUGACGUUACCCGCAGAAGAAGCACCGGCUAACUCCGUGCCAGCAGCCGCGGUAAUACGGAGGGUGCAAGCGUUAAUCGGAAUUACUGGGCGUAAAGCGCACGCAGGCGGUCUGUCAAGUCGGAUGUGAAAUCCCCGGGCUCAACCUGGGAACUGCAUUCGAAACUGGCAGGCUAGAGUCUUGUAGAGGGGGGUAGAAUUCCAGGUGUAGCGGUGAAAUGCGUAGAGAUCUGGAGGAAUACCGGUGGCGAAGGCG